rnacentral:rRNA from 1 species
GCGAAUUGCAUAUUAACUUAGCGGCGGACGGGUGAGUAAUGCUUAGGAAUCUGCCUAUUAGUGGGGGACAACAUUCCGAAAGGGAUGCUAAUACCGCAUACGCCCUACGGGGGAAAGCAGGGGAUCUUCGGACCUUGCGCUAAUAGAUGAGCCUAAGUCGGAUUAGCUAGUUGGUGGGGUAAAGGCCUACCAAGGCGACGAUCUGUAGCGGGUCUGAGAGGAUGAUCCGCCACACUGGGACUGAGACACGGCCCAGACUCCUACGGGAGGCAGCAGUGGGGAAUAUUGGACAAUGGGGGGAACCCUGAUCCAGCCAUGCCGCGUGUGUGAAAAAAGCCUUUUGGUUGUAAAGGACUUUAAGCGAGGAGGAAGGGCUCUAAGGUAAUUCCCCAGAUGCGUGGAAGGUACUCCCAAAAUAAACACCGGCUAACUCUGGGCCAGCAGCCGCGGGAUAAUAAAAGGGGGGGAGGGUUAACCGGAUUUUCCGGGGGGGAAAAACCCCCCCGUAGGGGGGUUUAUUUAAAACAAAAGGGGAAAAACCCCCCCAACUUAAUUUGGGAAAUUUGCUUUCCAUACUGGGUAACCUAAAAGUAUUGGGAAAAGGAUUGGUAAAAUUCCAGGGUGGUAGCCGGUGAAAAUGCCGUAAAAAUCUGGGAGGAAAUUCCCGAUGGGCCAAAGGCAACCAUUCUGGGACUAAUACUGACACUUGGGGGUGGGGAAAGGCAUGGGGGGAAGCCAACCCGGGAUUUAAAUUACCCCCUGGUAGUCCACGCCGUAAACGAUGUCGACUUGGAGGUUGUGCCCUUGAGGCGUGGCUUCCGGAGCUAACGCGUUAAGUCGACCCCCUGGGGAGUACGGCCGCAAGGUUAAAACUCAAAUGAAUUGACGGGGGCCCGCACAAGCGGUGGAGCAUGUGGUUUAAUUCGAUGCAACGCGAAGAACCUUACCUACUCUUGACAUCCAGAGAACUUAACAGAGAUGCUUUGGUGCCUUCGGGAACUUUGAGACAGGUGCUGCAUGGCUGUCGUCAGCUCGUGUUGUGAAAUGUUGGGUUAAGUCCCGCAACGAGCGCAACCCUUAUCCUUUGUUGCCAGCGGUCCGGCCGGGAACUCAAAGGAGACUGCCAGUGAUAAACUGGAGGAAGGUGGGGAUGACGUCAAGUCAUCAUGCCCCUUACGAGUAGGGCUACACACGUGCUACAAUGGCGCAUACAAAGAGAAGCGACCUCGCGAGAGCAAGCGGACCUCAUAAAGUGCGUCGUAGUCCGGAUUGGAGUCUGCAACUCGA